rnacentral:rRNA from 1 species
GACGAACGCUGGCGGCGUGCUUAACACAUGCAAGUCGAACGGAAAGGCCCUGCUUUUGUGGGGUGCUCGAGUGGCGAACGGGUGAGUAACACGUGAGUAACCUGCCCUUGACUUUGGGAUAACUUCAGGAAACUGGGGCUAAUACCGGAUAUGAGCUCCUGCUGCAUGGUGGGGGUUGGAAAGUUUCGGCGGUUGGGGAUGGACUCGCGGCUUAUCAGCUGGUUGGUGGGGUAGUGGCUUACCAAGGCUUUGACGGGUAGCCUGCCUGAGAGGGUGACCGGCCACAUUGGGACUGAGAUACGGCCCAGACUCCUACGGGAGGCAGCAGUGGGGAAUAUUGCACAAUGGGCGGAAGCCUGAUGCAGCAACGCCGCGUGCGGGAUGACGGCCUUCGGGUUGUAAACCGCUUUCGCCUGUGACGAAGCGUGAGUGACGGUAAUGGGUAAAGAAGCACCGGCUAACUACGUG